CAGCAGCCGCGGGAAUACGGAGGGGGCUAGCGUUGUUCGGAAUUACUGGGCGUAAAGCGCACGUAGGCGGCUUGGUAAGUUAGAGGUGAAAGCCCGGAGCUCAACUCCGGAAUUGCCUUUAAGACUGCCGAGCUAGUAGGUGAGAGAGGUAAGUGGAAUUCCGAGUGUAGAGGUGAAACUCGUAGAUAUUCGGAAGAACACCAGCGGCGAAGGCGGCUUACUGGCUCAUUCUAGACGCUGAGGUGCGAAAGCGUGGGGAGCAAACAGGAUUAGAUACCCGCGUAGUCCCUGUCUCUUAUAC
rnacentral:rRNA from 1 species